rnacentral:rRNA from 1 species
ACCUCGGAUCAGGUAGGAAUACCCGCUGAACUUAAGCAUAUCAAUAAGCGGAGGAAAAGAAACCAACAGGGAUUGCCCUAGUAACGGCGAGUGAAGCGGCAACAGCUCAAAUUUGAAAUCUGGCCUUCGGGUCCGAGUUGUAAUUUGUAGAGGAUGCUUUUGGUGAGGUACCUUCCGAGUUCCCUGGAACGGGACGCCAUAGAGGGUGAGAGCCCCGUCUGGUUGGAUACCGAUCCUCUGUAAAGCUCCUUCGACGAGUCGAGUAGUUUGGGAAUGCUGCUCUAAAUGGGAGGUAUAUGUCUUCUAAAGCUAAAUAUUGGCCAGAGACCGAUAGCGCACAAGUAGAGUGAUCGAAAGAUGAAAAGCACUUUGAAAAGAGAGUUAAAAAGUACGUGAAAUUGUUGAAAGGGAAGCGCUCAUGACCAGACUUGGGCUUGGUUGAUCAUCCAGGGUUCUCCCUGGUGCACUCUUCCAGCCCAGGCCAGCAUCAGUUCGCUGUGGGGGAUAAAGGCUUCGGGAAUGUGGCUCCUCCGGGAGUGUUAUAGCCCGCUGCGUAAUACCCUGUGGUGGACNGAG